GUCAGGAUUUCUAUGCUCAGUAAGAGCCUUUUGGAAAGUUUCAAUAGCAAUAUCAUAAUCCUUUGAACAUUUUGCCAAUUUCACAUACGCUGUUCCUUUCCUGGUCAAAGCCCUUGCAAUCAUCUUAAAGUCUGACCUGAGCUCUCUUCCCCUCUCAACAGCCUUAUCACAAUCUUUGAUACAAUCUUCGUACUUUCCCAUCUCCAAAUAGACAGCAGCUCGAUUUGUUAGGAAAGAGAUGUCCUCAUCGUCCAACUCCAAUGCCUUCGAGUAAUGGUUUAUUGCCGUCUCGAAGUCCUUCUUCUUGUACGCCGCAUUGCCCGCUUCCUUCUCCUUCUGUGCCUGCAAUUUCCUCUCCUUGGCCUCCUUCUCCUCAUCCGGCACCUCCAUAGGCUCUGGCUCUGGCUCUGGCUCUGGCUCCUUCACCGGCUCGGCCUCAGCAGCUCUUUUUCGUUCUGCCGGGGGAGAGGAGGUCUCAGGAACAUCGGCU
rnacentral:misc_RNA from 1 species